rnacentral:rRNA from 1 species
UGGGGAAUAUUGCACAAUGGGCGAAAGCCUGAUGCAGCGACGCCGCGUGAGUGAAGAAGGCCUUCGGGUCGUAAAACUCUGUCCUUGGUGAAGAAAAAAAUGACGGUAGCCAAGGAGGAAGCCCCGGCUAACUACGUGCCAGCAGCCGCGGUAAUACGUAGGGGGCGAGCGUUGUCCGGAUUUACUGGGCGUAAAGGGUGAGUAGGCGGUUGUAUAAGUCAGAUGUAAAAGGCACAGGCUUAACUUGUGUAAGCAUUUGAAACUGUACAACUUGAGUGCAGGAGAGGUAAGUGGAAGUCCUAGUGUAGCGGUGAGAUGCGUAGAUAUUAGGAGGAACACCUGUGGCGAAGGCGACUUACUGGACUGUUACUGACGCUGAGUCACGAAAGCGUGGGUA